rnacentral:rRNA from 1 species
AAGCUCGUAGUUGAAUUUCGGAAUCAACGGGUCGGUCAUGCCAAUGGUAUGUACUGGCCUCUUUGGUUCUCACCUUCUAAGGAACCAUAAUGUCAUUUAUUUGAUGUUGUGGGAAAUUAGGACUGUUACCUUGAAAAAAUUAGAGUGUUUAAAGCAGGCCAACGCUUGAAUACAUUAGCAUGGAAUAAUGAAAUAGGACAUCGCAUUCUAUUUUGUUGGUUUCUAGGAUCGAUGUAAUGAUUAAUAGGGAUAGUUGGGGGCAUUAGUAUUCAAUUGUCAGAGGUGAAAUUCUUGGAUUUAUUGAAGACUAACUACUGCGAAAGCAUUUGCCAAGGAUGUUUUCAUUAAUCAAGAACGAAAGUUAGGGGAUCGAAGACGAUCAGAUACCGUCGUAGUCUUAACCAUAAACUAUGCCGACUAGGGAUCGGAUGAUGUUGAUUUUUUAAUGACUCAUUCGGCACCUUACGGGAAACCAAAGUGUUUGGGUUCCGGGGGGAGUAUGGUCGCAAGGCUGAAACUUAAAGGAAUUGACGGAAGGGCACCACCAGGGGUGGAGCCUGCGGCUUAAUUUGACUCAACACGGGGAAA